UUUCCGGCAGGGGCGGUGCGAGGAGGCAGCCCAGAUCCACACAGGGAGCGCCGGAGGGUCGGGCAGGAGCCAGGAGAGGCUUGGCCUUUCCCGGAACCUUGAAAACGCUCAUUUUAAGUUACUCUCUGGAACAGUUUCACGCAGGUGGCUCGCAUGUCCUGUCCUGCCAGGGAAGUGGAAGCAAUUCUGUGGUCUGGAAACUUCCGUCUCUAAGUGGUCGCUGUCGAGCGGUGGUUGGAUCCAGGAACAUUUCCUGAGGUCAAACUCAACACGCUGCACUGGUCCACAGACUCAGGGAGAAGACCUGAGGGCGUCGGAGGCUAAAGGACUAAGGCGUGUGACGUUUAUCCUGCCAUCACAAAAAUAAAGAGAUGAGAGAUAAGUUUCUCUAUUUUUUUUUAACAUAUUUUCCCAAAUAGAUGUUUUUCUCUAGUUUAGAGUUUUGGGGGGGGGGUAAUUAGGUUUCUUUCUUUUUUUUUUAGAGGAGGUACUGGGGAUUGAACCCAGGACCUCAUGCAUGCUAAACAUGUGCACUUUGAACUAUACCCUCCCCCACCAAAGCUUCUCUUUAUUGAAGUGAUGAAUAAUCUGUUGUUUUCUUUGACCUGGGACAGAGAACUGCAUGUAUAUUCUCAUUGACUUUGGACAUGUAGACGGCACAUACACAUGCGGAUGAAGUGGGUAUUAUGUUAAAACUCUUCUGAUACACCCUUACUUGCUGGAAUGUCUUCACGUAAUUCCGUGUGAGGACCUGUUGUGGAUGCAGUGAAUCUAAAUUAGUAAACAAUAGUUGAGCUCAAUUACACAAGAAAUUAUCUAAGAAAUAAUCGUCCUUCCACAUCAGCACUAUUCGGGAAAAAUAAUUACAAGCAAAACUAGAAUCUCCUGACCCAGAAAUUUCCUCCAAGUAGUAGAAUGGAAGGAAAACAGCUUUAUUACUGAAUAAUCUAUAACCAGCAUAUGAUGGGGAUAAUAGCCAUCACUAACAGAUUGCAAAGACACAAAGAAAUCCCACCCUUUUAUGCGACCUACCACCUACAUCUUUCCAAGAUAAGUAAGACCUAGUACUCAAGUAAGAGGUCAUGACAGCACCAUUGGUAACACCUAGUUCAUCUUAGCAUUACUUGGAAAAUGGGAAUGACAAUCUAUGUAAGCCUAUAAACUUCAUACAUAGAAAAGUGGAAAAAAAAAGACAUCCUGGGAGCCAUGAGUAGUAGAUCUGAACUAUUCUCUGAACUCACUAUGGAGACAUUGGCUUAUGCUUUUUUUAAUUGCAUCAUUUGCAUACAAUAAAAUUCACACUUUGCAAAUGAAUGAAAACAGUGGGAUUUAGUACGUUUACCACUUGUUUGUCACUUUGUCUAACCACAAUAUUAUCAUUCAUCACCACCCCUUAAAAGACCCAUAUCCUUUAGCAGUUAUUUUGAACUCCACCCCCAUCAUAAGCAAACAAUAAGCUACUUCCCAUCUCUAUGGAUAUGGCUAUUUGGGGCAUUUAAUAGAAAUUAAUUUAUACAAUAUGUGGCCUUAUUUCAACCUUCUUUCACUUUCAGGGGUCAUCAAUGUUGUAACAGUUACCAGUACCUCAUAACUUUUUAUUGCUGAGUAGUAACAUUCCAGUUUUUUAUCCAUUCGUCACUUGAUGGAGCUUUGGGUUCCUUCUACAUUUUGGCUAUUAUGAGAAAAGUUUCGAUCAACAAUCUUUAACAAGGUGUUUUUGUGGAUAAGCGUUCUCAAAUCUCUUGGAUAUUUUUGUAAAAGUGGAAUUGCUGGGUUUUAUAUUCUAAUUUGUCAGAAAUACAGAUUUGACCAUUCAGAUGACUGAUGCGUUACUUCUCAUACCCUAGUUAGCAAAAGUGAUCUCAUGCCCUUGCCUUAUUGCAAGGAGACAAUUAGGGAAAUACAUGACUAGGCAUAAGAAGGUAGUAAAAGGGUGAGGAAAGUCAUUAGGCUGAAGUGGUCUCCAUCAUACAUAAAGAGCAAAGUGUAAAAUAUGAUAUAUAGCAUCUUUUUUGUUGUAAAAAUUAUACUUUAAAAAAAGAACAGGCUUGGCAACAUUGUAAUGUGGAUACUUGUAGUACAUUUUUUAAUUUAUUUUUGACAUUUGGGGCUCAGUAAUAUUUUAUAUGUGGACAAUGAAUUUAAAAAGGAAAUUCAAAAAUAUUAAGUUAUUAAUAUUAAAAUAAAUUCAGAGAUGAUAUUUGAAUAUUUCCCAACUGCAAGCCUUUUGUAUAUCUCUUGCUUUCAGGCAGGAUGGCAUGAAUAAAUAACAUCUCAAGAUGGAUUCUUUUAUUUCUGACAUUGAUUAUUAGAAAAUUAUUUUUAACUGUGUUUGGAUUCAGAUAGAGAAGAAAGGAAGUAAAUCUGUAAGUUAGAAAAUACUAAGGUCUCUAAUAAUUUUUGCCUAUCAUUUGGAACAUGGGGCAGAGUGGCCAUGUGUUACAUGGAAUGUUAUACUAUCAGGAUAAAGAACAAAGUCUGUUGAUAUAAUCUGUCCCUAUCACCCCCUUUACCUUUCUCUGUUCAUGAGGUAGAAAUAUGAAAUUCAAAAAUUCACAUUUCUUUUAAAAAUUAUGGUGGCAAUUUAACACAAUGAGCUAAUAAAUAGUUGGAAAAAAUGUUUGGGAUUACUUUUUCCAUGAAAAUGAGACAAAAUCUAAAAUUGAAAAGGGUUUUGCCUCUCAAACCUUGCUCUUCCUAGUCAUACAGGAGCCAUGUUGCUGUAAGAAAUGUGAAGACUUAAGUAGAGGCUCAUGGCGGGAGAAGGGGCAGAGGACCCGUCACAGCGCACACUGCGCCCUCUGCACUUCCUGUCAGGUGCCGUGUGAGGAAAGGUCAGGACGGAGAGAGGGUCCGAAUGGAGCACGGGGCACAUGCACACGUGGGAGCACGUGCACACGUGGGAGCACAGCCUGAGACUGCGCGUCUGUGUGACUGUAACUGAAUCAUUCACAUCUGCACCUAACGUACUGAUCUUGAGAGAAAAGAACUGGUUUAGCAAGUAGCAUGCUACUGGCCCAUUUUUAACUAUGGGAAUUAUACCAUGUGUAUGUCAGGGAAAUGAAAGGGAUUUCAGUGCUGUUGGGAGACAGUAGAUUUGCAUCUAUUGCUCUAUACGCUAUGCAACGUAUCUAAUGGAAUACUCCAGAGGUUCCAUUUCCGUGCAUAUAUUCAAGAAAAACACAGUAUUCCAGCACAUUGUAUAAGAAUGUUCUUAGCAGAAACCAGAAGAUAAAACCAGGAAAAGGUCAACAAAGUGAGACGGAUGAGUUUAUUCUGUACACACAUAUGCAGAUCAAAGGAAGUGUACCAACAAUACCAUAAAGAUCAUGAUUUCAGAAUGAAGAUCCUGGCUGGGUGAGCAGAGUUUCAUGGGCAAACAAGACUAGCAGAAGAUGUCUGCCAAAGUCUGAGUAAUUCAAGAACAUGAUCACAUUAGUUAACUAAGUAGAGGAAACGAACAAACAAAAAAGAAAUGUUUUAACUAAAAAAUUAAUUACAUAACAUACUUCAAAAAAAGUAAUGUAUUGACUUUGGCAUAUAAAAUGUUUAUGCUAACACUGCUUAUUAUUAAACAUGACUGAGUU